rnacentral:rRNA from 1 species
AGGGUUUGAUCCUGGCUCAGAACGAACGCUGGCGGCAUGCCUAACACAUGCAAGUCGAACGAGACCUUCGGGUCUAGUGGCGCACGGGUGCGUAACGCGUGGGAAUCUGCCCUUAGGUACGGAAUAACAGUUAGAAAUGACUGCUAAUACCGUAUGAUGACUUCGGUCCAAAGAUUUAUCGCCUAAGGAUGAGCCCGCGUAGGAUUAGCUAGUUGGUGAGGUAAAGGCUCACCAAGGCGACGAUCCUUAGCUGGUCUGAGAGGAUGAUCAGCCACACUGGGACUGAGACACGGCCCAGACUCCUACGGGAGGCAGCAGUGGGGAAUAUUGGACAAUGGGCGAAAGCCUGAUCCGGCAAUGCCGCGUGAGUGAAGAAGGCCUUCGGGUUGUAAAGCUCUUUUACCCGGGAUGAUAAUGACAGUAUCGGGAGAAUAAGCCCCGGCUAACUCCGUGCCAGCAGCCGCGGUAAUACGGAGGGGGCUAGCGUUGUUCGGAUUUACUGGGCGUAAAGCGUACGUAGGCGGCUUUGUAAGUUAGAGGUGAAAGCCCAGGGCUCAACCCUGGAAUAGCCUUUAAGACUGCAUCGCUUGAACGUCGGAGAGGUGAGUGGAAUUCCGAGUGUAGAGGUGAAAUUCGUAGAUAUUCGGAAGAACACCAGUGGCGAA